rnacentral:rRNA from 1 species
UACGGAAGGGGCAAGCGUUGUUCGGAAUCAUUGGGCGUAAAGGGCGCGCAGGUGGUUCUGUAUGUCUACCGUGAAAGCGUACGGCUCAACCGUAUUUUGUCGGUAGAAACUGCAGGACUUGAGGCUGGGAGGGACUGGUGGAAUUCCCUGUGUAGCGGUGAAAUGCGUAGAGAUGGGGGAGAACACUCGUGGCGAAGGCGGCCAGCUAGACCAGUUCUGACACUGAGGCGCGACAGCGUGGGGAGCAAACAGG